GGUUGAUCUGAUGGUAGUGGGUCAAGCGAAAUUAUUACUGUUAUUUAAUCUAACCUUUCUAUAUUCCACCCCAUUGCUAACCUCGACUGGUCUUUU
rnacentral:Y_RNA from 1 species